rnacentral:rRNA from 1 species
UGCAAGUCGAACGAAGUUUUCUUUUCGGAGGAAACUUAGUGGCGGACGGGUGAGUAACACGUGAGAACCUACCUUCAGGAUGGGGACAACAGUUGGAAACGACUGCUAAUACCUAAUGUGCCGAGAGGUGAAAGGAUUUAUUGCCUGAAGAUGGGCUCGCGUCUGAUUAGCUAGUUGGGGGUGUAAGGGACCACCAAGGCAACGAUCAGUAGCUGGUCUGAGAGGAUGAGCAGCCACACUGGGACUGAGACACGGCCCAGACUCCUACGGGAGGCAGCAGUGGGGAAUUUUCCGCAAUGGGCGAAAGCCUGAUGCAGCAACGCCGCGUGGGGGACGACGGCCUUCGGGUUGUAAACCUCUUUUGGCAGGGAAGAAGCGAAAGUGACGGUACCUGCAGAAAAAGCACCGGCUAACUACGUGCCAGCAGCCGCGGUAAUACGUAGGGUGCAAGCGUUGUCCGGAAUUAUUGGGCGUAAAGAGCUCGUAGGCGGUGUGUCACGUCUGCUGUGAAAAUCCAAGGCUCAACCUUGGACUUGCAGUGGGUACGGGCACACUCGAGUGCGGUAGGGGAGAUUGGAAUUCCUGGUGUAGCGGUGGAAUGCGCAGAUAUCAGGAGGAACACCGAUGGCGAAGGCAGAUCUCUGGGCCGUAACUGACGCUGAGGAGCGAAAGCGUGGGGAGCGAACAGGAUUAGAUACCCUGGUAGUCCACGCCGUAAACGGUGGGAACUAGAUGUGGGGUCCGUUCCACGGAUUCCGUGUCGCAGCUAACGCAUUAAGUUCCCCGCCUGGGGAGUACGGCCGCAAGGCUAAAACUCAAGGAAUUGACGGGGGCCCGCACAGCGCGGAGCAUGCGAUUAUUCGAUGCACGCGAGAUCUUACAGCUUGACAUAUAGAGAAAGUGCAAGGAUGCACUCCCCCGCAAGUCUCUAUACAGUGGUGCAUGGCUGUCGUCAGCUCAUGUCUGAAAUGUGGUAAGUUCCGCACCA